rnacentral:rRNA from 1 species
CGCGUAGGCGGUUUAGUAAGUCGGAUGUGAAAGCCCCGGGCUUAACCUGGGAAUUGCAUUCGAUACUGCUUGACUAGAGUAUGGUAGAGGGAAGUGGAAUUCCAGGUGUAGCGGUGAAAUGCGUAGAUAUCUGGAGGAACAUCAGUGGCGAAGGCGACUUCCUGGACCAAUACUGACGCUGAGGUGCGAAAGCGUGGGGAGCAAACA